rnacentral:ncRNA from 1 species
AUUGUACUGCCGCCGGGCAGUAGGUGCGAAAGCGCUUGUAUACAUCAUCAGGCCGUAGAAGAUGUAUAUAAGCGCUUUUAAUAUGU